rnacentral:lncRNA from 1 species
GUCCCCAAAAGAGGAUGUUGAGGAUAGUUUUCUGUUUGGACCCAAGAGCGCCAGGGAACCCUGAACCCCUGUUGUUCUACACAUCAGCUCUGAGAAGGCAGUGGCACUUUGGUCUGCUGGAUCAUCAAGGUGGACCAGAACAUGGAACGAUCUGGCUGAACUCUCUGUAUAAACCAAGCUGGCCUUGGACUCAGAGAUAUGCGUGCCUCUGCCCCGCAUAGACUGGGACUAAAGGUGUGCACAGCUACACCCUGCUGUUCUUAGCUAGCUCUUCAAAGCUCUUCCUUUCUGACCUCUCAAUGUAAAGAUGAGCAGAAAUCAAAGUUAAACAGUCAUGGAGCCCUGUGAGAAAGGACAGGUCCCCUGUUGCCAGACCACUGGCCGCCAACCGAGACUUCCUUUCUUUGCAUGUCUCACAUCUCAGCUUCCUCACCUG